rnacentral:rRNA from 1 species
AAAAGUCUCUAUCGAGGUUAAAGGUACCCGUACCGCAAACCGACACAGGUGGGUGAGGAGAGUAUCCUAAGGCCAGCGAGAGAACUGUUGUUAAGGAACUCGGCAAAAUGACCCCGUAACUUAGGGAUAAGGGGUGCCACCAUCAGGUGGCCGCAGAGAAUAGGCCCAAGCGACUGUUUACCAAAAACAUAGGUUUCUGCUAAGUCGCAAGACGAUGUAUAGGAGCUGACGCCUGCCCGGUGCUGGAAGGUUAAGGGGAUCUGUGAGAGCAAUCGAAGCAGUGAACUUAAGCCCCAGUAAACGGCGGCCGUAACUAUAACGGUCCUAAGGUAGCGAAAUUCCUUGUCGGGUAAGUUCCGACCCGCACGAAAGGCGUAACGAUUUGGGCACUGUCUCA